UCGGUCACUGUUUCAACAAGAAAAGAAAAGACUUCUACAAUUCACAGAAAGGAUCUUGUAUCCCAAAGCGAUUACUUGCCAAAUAUCUACAGUUUAAGUG